AACGAACGCUGGCGGCAUGCCUAACACAUGCAAGUCGAACGCCUGUAGCAAUACAGGAGUGGCGCACGGGUGAGUAACGCGUGGGAACCUGCCUAGUGGUAAGGAAUAACCGCGGGAAACUGCGGCUAAUACCUUAUGAGCCCUACGGGGGAAAGAUUUAUCGCCAUUAGAGGGGCCCGCGUCCGAUUAGCUAGUUGGUGAGGUAACGGCUCACCAAGGCUCCGAUCGGUAGCCGGUCUGAGAGGAUGAUCAGCCACACUGGGACUGAGACACGGCCCAGACUCCUACGGGAGGCAGCAGUGGGGAGUAUUGGACAAUGGGGGGCAACCCUGAUCCAGCAAUGCCGCGUGAGUGAUGAAGGCCUUAGGGUUGUAAAGCUCUUUCGACGGGGAAGAUGAUGACGGUACCCGUAGAAGAAGCCCCGGCUAACUUCGUGCCAGCAGCCGCGGUAAU
rnacentral:rRNA from 1 species